ensembl:lncRNA
GGCACAGUGACAGGACGUGCGAGGCAGCCCAAAUUCCCCCGCCCCCCUACCCAAAGCCCCGAGUCACCUAGCCUCAAGUGACUCCCAUCCUCAAAUUUCCCUACCUGUCGGCACCAGGAAGUGGCGAGCAGAGACAGCCCAGCCACCAGGAGCAGGAGGCUGGGGAUAAGGAGAACGCUGUCGACAACCAUCGCUCAAAGCCGGUCACGACCGCACUGGGAGAGACAAAGUGCUGGCCGCUGGCUUACAUGGGCAGAGCCAUGACAUCAUAGUCCGGCGGGUGGGGAGAACUCUGUGAGGUCACAGCCCAUAUGGAAGCAGGCUGGCAGUAGCCCCCGGCAUGGGGAUGGGAGGAGUUACGGACAUAACUUGAGUAUCAUCAAAAAAUACAUCACAUUGGAGCUUUGGCAACAAGUGAACACAUGUACCACUUUGGGGACCAUCCCUGAGAUGCGCUGCUGCCAUCCUUACCUCACGUGCCUGAGCUGGGCACGAGUUAGGAUGGGAAAACGGUUUUUGUUUGCUAUUAGUUCUCACUACCCCAGUUCUUUUUUCAUGGGUAAUUAAACGAAUCUUCUUCAAACUGAAACCGCUUUGUGCAGCACUGUACCUGGUGUGUGACCUCCCUCUCCUUAGCUGACUUCUUCCACCAUAUCAUUCACCCCACCAUAGCGAGGAGGGUAAGCAAUAGAGCAGGUUGCGGGUGGGGGGGGGAAGCAGUCAAGGUCAGUGCCCCCACAGCUUCAGGAUUCUGAUAAGCUAGCAUUCCAGGCACUGGUAUAGUUGCUCCUUUCUGAGCAAUGCAGACCUAGGCUCCUCAGGACAGCCUCCAGCAGUAUGGACAGAGACAAAGGCGGCAUUUAGUAACUCCGCCUUCUCUGUAGCUUCUCUUACCAGGGCACCCACCUCAUUCAUCAGUGGGCCUACAUCGCCUCCAGUGUUAGUUUUGCCUGCAGUGUAGUUGAAGAAGCCCUUUCCGUUGUCCUUGACCGCUCUUGCCACGUUAAACUCUAAGGAGGCCUUAACCUUCCUAGUUCAUAGAACCCUGGAAUCACCAAGGUUGGAAAAGACCCACAGGAUCACCCAGACCAACCGUCCACCCUUCCAUCACCAAUGGUUCUCACUAAGCCAUGUCCCUCAACACAACUUCCAAACAUUCCGUGAACACCUCCAGGGUCGGUGAGUCCUCCACCUCCCUGGGCAGCCCAUUCCAGUGCCUGACCACCCUUUCAGGGAAGCGGUAUUUCCCAACAUCCAGCCUGAACCUCCCCUGGCGCAGCUUGAAGCCGUUCCCUCUAGUCCUGUAUCUGGUUACACGAGAGAAGAGGCCGACCCCCAGCUCACUACAACCUCCCUUCAGGUAGUUACAGAGAGCAAGAAGGUCUCCCCUGAGCCUCCUCUUCUCCAGACUGAACGAUCCCAGCUCCCUCAGCCGCUCCCCGUAGGCCUGUGCUCCAGACCCCUCACCAGCUUUGUUGCCCUUCUUUGAACACGCUCCAGGGCCUCAACGUCUUACUUGCAGUGAGGGGCCCAAAACCGGACACAGUACUCGAGGUGCGGCCUCACCAGGGCUGAGUACAGGGGGACAAUUACUUCUCUGUUCCCGCUGGCAACACUGCAUCUGAUGCAAGCCAGGAUGCCCUUGGCCUUCUUGGCCACCUGGGCACACUGCUGGCCCGUGUUCAUUCUAGCAUCAAUAAAUAGAGGAAAAUUGAAAAUAGACUGAAUUUUAAAAAUUAAUAGAGGAAAAUUAGAACACCUUAACUUUCAGUAGUCAAGCAAUGUUUCAGUAGUCAGCUCUUUGCAAGAGGACAUCGUGAGUAAGCCAGAUUACUUUGAUUCAGCCCAAAUCUCUUGUGUACCUGUAAAAAGUUGAAACAGAGUUCAAAGGACAGCCUGCCUUAACAUAGGCAGAACAGUCAGCCUUAGUUUAGUAUUCUGCAUUGACACUUUCUACAAAGCUACCUAGUCACUGGCAUCUCCAGACAUUAGCUGUGAACAAAACUUCACUCUCAUCACUCCCCAGUCUUGAAUUCAGAUCUGAGUUUUCUGCAGGUUUUUAAGUAUGUCAUCUAAAUGAAUCCUGGGCGUGAGUCAAGCAGGGUCAUACUUUCCGGAUGGAAACCUAAGUUUUUCCAGAAUCUUCCAGAGGAGUGAAGUAGAUGAGGCAAGAUAACACCAUUGUAUAGUCAACAAAUAUACUGAGUAGUGUGGUCAGAUUGCUAUCCACAGAUAGUAUAACUAGAAAGAUUAUCGUUGGAAAUAACUGGAAAAUGCUCACCCAUGUUGUAGGCUCACAGGAAAAACUCCAAGAAUAGCAAUCUCUAGAAAAAAACCCUUCCCCCAUUGUACUCAGCCCUUCUAUGGGAGGUCAAGGAGAGGUGCAGCCAGGCUCCACCCCUUCUGGUCACACAGAUGUUCAGGCCGUGAUUCAGGAGCUCCCAUACAACCAUCAAUCUUUGCCCUCUUAUACAGCUGCCACGUGCCCAAGCCAUCAAGCCAUCAACGUCCUCUGUGGUGAUCACUACAUGGGAGUUGUAACUCUUCUGCUUGGUGUGAGGAUCUGGGAGAAAACCUAGAAACUUCAGAAAAAUAAGUUUUUUUCUUCAACACUUCUUUUUCUGUGAAUGUCUGUACAAAAUAAAUAAAUAAAUAAAUAAAUAAAUACUCUGGAAAAUUUUAAAGGGAAAAUUUCCAGAGUGUUGAACAUCAAGCAAUCAGUUUUCCCUCCAUAAACGUUAAGACUUUCACAGAUUGUUACUUUGCUGAAAAGAAUGCAGCUUUAUGUUAUUAAAAUUCCUCUAUUCUGUAGGUCAAAUGACUUAAUAUUGUGCAGUGAUAGCAAUACAGAAUUAUCUCCAGAAUUAUCUCCAAAUACAUCUUCAUGGAGUAAAAAAACAUAUUAGCUAUUAGCCCUCUUUUCAAUAUACAAACCCGAUGAAUAUACAUAUAUAGUUCUUAGGAAUGUGCAGUGUAUUUUAAUAGGCAAUCAGAUAGAAGAGAUAACUUUCCUCACAAGAUUUGUAUCUCUUCUGUCUGUAAACCACCCAGGACUGAGCACUAGUAGUAGUACUAUUCACAGUACAUAUCUGCAUAUGUUUUUUUCUAACUAAACAGUAAAACUCACAUUAUUAAAGUUAACAAAAUUUAGUUUUGAUAACAAGUUCAUUUCUCACACUGAAUUUUCAAAGCUCAGUUACUAGAAAAUAAAAGAAAACCUGAGAAACCCUGGAAAGUAAUGUGUCUUC